CAGCACCUCAAGUGGUCAGGAGGAUUAUUGGGCCCAAAGCAUCCGUAGCCUGUUUUGUAAGUUUCCGGUUAAAUCCAUUAGCUCAACUAAUGGGCUGCCGAAAAUACUGCAAAACUAGGGAGUGGGAGAGGUAGACGGUACUCGGUAGGAAGGGGUAAAAUCCUUUGAUCUAUUGAUGACCACCUGUGGCGAAGGCGGUCUACCAGAACACGUUCGACGGUGAGGGAUGAAAGCUGGGGGAGCAAACCGGAUUAGAUACCCGAGUAGUCC
rnacentral:rRNA from 1 species